rnacentral:rRNA from 1 species
GACGAACGCUGGCGGCGUGCUUAACACGUGCAAGUCGAACGGAAAGGCCCUGCUUUUGUGGGGUGCUCGAGUGGCGAACGGGUGAGUAACACGUGAGUAACCUGCCCUUGACUUUGGGAUAACUUCAGGAAACUGGGGCUAAUACCGGAUAGGAGCUCCUGCUGCAUGGUGGGGGUUGGAAAGUUUCGGCGGUUGGGGAUGGACUCGCGGCUUAUCAGCUUGUUGGUGGGGUAGUGGCUUACCAAGGCUUUGACGGGUAGCCGGCAUGAGAGGGUGACCGGCCACAUUGGGACUGAGAUACGGCCCAGACUCCUACGGGAGGCAGCAGUGGGGAAUAUUGCACAAUGGGCGGAAGCCUGAUGCAGCAACGCCGCGUGCGGGAUGACGGCCUUCGGGUUGUAAACCGCUUUCGCCUGUGACGAAGCGUGAGUGACGGUAAUGGGUAAAGAAGCACCGGCUAACUACGUG